AGCAGCCGCGGUAAUUCCAGCUCCAAUAGCGUAUAUUAAAGUUGUUGCAGUUAAAAAGCUCGUAGUUGAAUUUCGGGGUUAGCAAGUUGGUCGUGCCUUUGGUAUGCACUGGCUUUGCUGAUUCCUCCUUCUUGAAGAACUGUGAUGCUAUUAAUUUGGUGUUGCAGGGAAACAGGACUGUUACUUUGAAAAAUUAGAGUGUUUAAAGCAGGCUAACGCUUGAAUACAUUAGCAUGGAAUAAUGAAAUAGGACGUUUGAUCCUAUUUUGUUGGUUUCUAGGAUUGACGUAAUGAUUAAUAGGGAUAGUUGGGGGCAUUAGUAUUCAAUUGUCAGAGGUGAAAUUCUUGGAUUUAUUGAAGACUAACUACUGCGAAAGCAUUUGCCAAGGAUGU
rnacentral:rRNA from 1 species